GGAGGGCCGAGGAGCGCCCGGUCGAAGCGCCGAGGUCCUCUCUCCACUCUCUUCGUCUCCUAUCUCCAACACGCAUAUCUCUUUUUAUCCGCCUCGUAUUCUCUCUCUUUCGCUCUCUCUCUCUCUCUUUCUCUCUGUCUGGACCAGACUGAAAACGACCGGCUCCCUCUAUCAUACGCACAUACACUCACAUACACAUACACCCACACAUUCUCACACACACACCCACACACACACAUACCUACACACACACACACACACACACACACACAUACUCUCUCAGUCCCCCCCCUUAUCUCUCUUUUAUCUCCUUCCGCGAGUCGCGAGUGAAAACGAGCCGGGCAGCGCCGCACCGACCUUCACCAUUUUGGUACACGCAGCACGCUACGUACGGCUGUAAAGCUGUAUGUCCUCGCCGAUCCUCGUCUGACGAAGAGAAUCCGCGAGAGGAACUCGCCGAAUUUGAUCGGAAUGCGCGUGGGGCGACCGGUCCGCUGCGUGGAUUCCGUGACAAAACGACGACGACGACGCCGGUUUGGGGGUUGCUAGCCUCCCUCAACUCCGCCUCUCAUUCCUGUCACUCUAUUCGUUUCUCGCUCGCUCUCUCCCUCUUUCUACUACGAAGGGUGGGUGGUGAUACGCCGGUGGCAGUGGCAGCAGUAGUGUGUGGAUGCUUGUACCGCCGCGUGCACGGGUUCACCUACGUGAGCCAUUACACGGGUCCUCGGCUUUCUCACCGACUGGGAGGCUAUAUGAGCGGUCACGGUCCACGGACGCAAAUUCUGGCCACCUUCGUCCACCUCCUUUUCUCCCAUCAUCCUUAUCUCCUCCAUGUACCUCCGGUGUGCUGACGCUCGAUGUGCUUACUCGAGGCUACGUUCUUCGCCCGCUUAUCUUGACCGAAAUUCGCGGUGUGUUCGAUCCCUAUCCGUGUCGGUACGGCCGAUCGUAGUAUGCAGUGUAUGCGCGUGCUUUGUUGAAAGGAUGCAACGUAUCGCUGCUGCGCUGCCCUUGUCUCAUACUGAUUGCUGAGGUUCGAGCGAAUCGGCAUCGGCACGAGAGACCGAAGGGAAUACGUGCAACGAGAUGCCAGCCUUCGCACCGUUCGCAUCGCAUUCUGGGAGAUACGUUAUCCCGCGAGAACGACGACUACGUUCGUGGGAGCACUCGGCGGUUUUACACUUUUCCACUAAAUCAGCCGUUAACGUCCCUGCGGAUGCACCGCGCACUCCGAUCUACGAUCGAUAAGCGAGCG